AAGUAUACUCCAUGCAAGUGUACUCAAGAAAUACCUUAGCAUGGUGGCCAUGGUUUAAGAAAAAUCCAUGCUUUACAUGCUAGUUUCCUCAUAGAAGCUUUAACGCAGCCUGUCACAUAAAAAUUGUCUCCUAGUCCUAAGACCUACGAAGAUUUUUUUUUUUUAAGUUUAGUCUCUUUUCUACUGUUCUACUUGGUCCAACAACCUAAUCCAAUACCCCCCUGAUUCUAGCAACAUGCUGUAGUUAUAUGAGACCAAAAGAAGCUUCUGAGUCUCUAAUCUUGACUUC
rnacentral:lncRNA from 1 species